UACGGAGGGGGCGAGCGUUAUUCGGAAUUAUUGGGCGUAAAGGGCGCGUAGGCGGUUUGACAAGUCUGAUGUGAAAUCUAUGGGCUCAACCCAUAGCCUGCAUUAGAAACUGUCGGGCUUGAGUAUGGGAGAGGUGAGUGGAAUUUCCGGUGUAGCGGUGAAAUGCGUAGAUAUCGGAAGGAACACCUGUGGCGAAAGCGGCUCACUGGACCAUAACUGACGCUGAGGCGCGAAAGCUAGGGGAGCAAACAGG
rnacentral:rRNA from 1 species